GAUGAAGAACGUAGCGAAAUGCGAUACGUAAUGUGAAUUGCAGAAUUCAGUGAAUCAUCGAAUCUUUGAACGCAUAUUGCGCUCUCUGGUAUUCCGGAGAGCAUGCUUGUUUGAGUAUCAGUAAACACCUCAACUUCCAUAUCUUUUUUGAACUGGGAGUUGGACUUGAGUGAUCCCAACGCUUUUCCUCACCGAAAAGUGGCGGGUUACUUGAAAUGCAGGUGCAGCUGGACUUUUCUCUGAGCUAUAAGCAUAUCUAUUUAGUCUGCCUAAAAAACAGAUUAUUACCUUUGCUGCAGCUAACAUAAAGGAGAUUAGUUCUUGUGCUGACUGAUGCAGGAUUCACAAAGACAGGCUUCGGCCGACUUUGUAAACUCGAUCUCAAAUCAAGUAAGACUACCCGCUGAACUUAAGCAUAUCAAUAAGCGGAGGA
rnacentral:misc_RNA from 1 species